UACAGAGGUCCCAAGCGUUGUUCGGAUUCAUUGGGCGUAAAGAGCGUGUAGGCGGUUCGAUAAGUCGGCUGGGAAAGUCCAGGGCUCAACCCUGGGAUGCCGGUCGAAACUGUCGGACUAGAGUUCGGAAGAGGCGAGUGGAAUUCCCGGUGUAGCGGUGAAAUGCGCAGAUAUCGGGAGGAACACCAAUGGCGAAGGCAGCUCGCUGGGACGUUACUGACGCUGAGACGCGAAAGCGUGGGGAGCAAACAGG
rnacentral:rRNA from 1 species